AACUGCAUGAUACAAUAAGAAUAAUGAAAGCUAUUAACUAUUAAACUUGCUUGAGAUUUCACAUAUUCAAAUUAAUGUGAUUUAAAAAGGCUCCCCCACCUUAGUAUAUUGAAAAAAAUAAAACAGAGAAUAAAUCUAAAGCUUCAAGGAAGUCUAUACUUUCCUCAACAUAUAAAA
rnacentral:miRNA from 1 species